UACGGGGGGGGUAAGCGUUGUUCGGAAUUACUGGGCGUAAAGGGCUCGUAGGCGGCCAACUAAGUCAUACGUGAAAUCCCUCGGCUUAACCGGGGAACUGCGUCUGAUACUGGAUGGCUUGAGUUCGGGAGAGGGAUGCGGAAUUCCAGGUGUAGCGGUGAAAUGCGUAGAUAUCUGGAGGAACACCGGUGGCGAAGGCGGCAUCCUGGACCGAUACUGACGCUGAUGAGCGAAAGCCAGGGGAGCAAACGGG
rnacentral:rRNA from 1 species